rnacentral:rRNA from 1 species
CCUACGGGAGGCAGCAGUGGGGAAUAUUGGACAAUGGGCGAAAGCCUGAUCCAGCAAUACCGCGUGUGUGAAGAAGGCCUUCGGGUUGUAAAGCACUUUAAGCAGGGAAGAAAAAAUUCAAGCUAACAUCUUGAGUCUUGACGGUACCUGAAGAAUAAGCACCGGCUAACUCUGUGCCAGCAGCCGCGGUAAUACAGAGGGUGCAAGCGUUAAUCGGAUUUACUGGGCGUAAAGCGUGUGUAGGUGGUUGGGAAAGUCAAUUGUGAAAGCCCCGGGCUCAACUCGGGAACUGCUUUUGAUACUGUCUGACUAGAAUUCGGUAGAGGGAGGCGGAACUCCAGGUGUAGCGGUGAAAUGCGUAGAUAUCUGGAAGAACACCAAUGGCGAAGGCAACCUCCUGGGCCUGAAUUGACACUGAGACACGAAAGCGUGGGGAUCAAACAGGAUUAGAUACCCUGGUAGUCCACGCCGUAAACGAUGACAACUUGACGUCGGUUUGCUCUGCGAAUCGGUGUCGUAGCUAACGCGAUAAGUUGUCCGCCUGGGGAAGUACGGCCGCAAGGUUGAAACUCAAAAGAGAAGUACGCGNGAGAGAGCGACGACGACGACGACGGAGGAGGAGG